GACAUAACCAUCUCAUAGUUCAUUCUAUUCUAGUGUAGUUUUUUGCAGUUGUAAUGCUUCUAGCAUGGUACAAUUAAGAAUGUAAAGGCUAGAUUGUUCUCUCUUGUUCAACUUUGAGAACCGUAACAAUUUUGAUCAAGUUUGGUCAUGGCAAUGACCCUCCCUUGACCUUGCAAAAGUGGGGAGUCUCAUGCACUGGAAAUGCCCUUUU
rnacentral:misc_RNA from 1 species